UUCAUACCAGACUUGGCCUGACCUUACCGAUGAUAGUCGGGAAGUUUUCGUGCACGUGCCCCUAAGGACCAGCGCCCCUGAGACGCGGUUGCCGCCAUUGAACCCUUGAAUCGAAGAACCUAACACCAAAUCUUGCCGUUGUGUACACACAACAAGAAAUCCCAACCUCAACGCGCUGAGGAAUAGGAAGGAAUCUACGAUAGAGCUCUAUCUAAUCCGCCCCGAUAGACAAACUUGAGGAGGAUCCGAGCCCCGAAGACUGACUCGGAGAAGAAGCGUCGCCAUCCGUCCGAGCGCCACCCUUGCGAGGAAUAGAACCAUAAGCUAUCUGCUAGCAGGAGCCGAGGCACCAUGAUUCAUCUACCCGCCACCGGCCGCCAGAGCGGCAGGUAGAGGAAAGGUGAAUCCACAGGCUCGCCUUUGGAGAUCGAGUGGAGGAAGACUUUGCCCUAGUCGUCUUCCGAGAGGGGAAAGAAAGACGUCAAAUUAAAUAUCAGGAAGAAAGGAACUUGCAUGGACGAGAGGGACAAGCACUGGGGCAUGAGCAAGCAUGGAGAUGGCGGCAAGAAUACAUGGAAGGAAGAUGGAGUUUCAAGUGGUUAUUUUGUAACUUCGGAGCCACCAUAAUGAUGUAAGAACACAUAGAUGAAAUAUCGAAGAUCACAAUUCAUAUUUCAUCCAUGGCCUUCUAUAGGUGUUGUGCCAUAUUACUUUUGGGCCAAGCCCAUGUAAUUUUGAAAUGUAUGACCAUAGGUAGGUUUUAGAGCCACAAUAGUGGAGAAAACCGACUUAAGGUGGGACCCCCCUAUAGGGCUGGCUGGAUUUUCGUGUACCUACAUAAAUAUCACCCCUAGGGCAUCAUUUA